UGCUUUAUGUUUCCCAUGUAAAGUACGCCUGCCCGGUGAGUUGCGGCUUAAACGGCCGCGGUAUCCUGACCGUGCAAAGGUAGCAUAAUCAUUUGCCUCUUAAUUGGAGGCUAGUAUGAAAGGGUAAACGAAGGAGCAAUUGUCUCUUUUUUUAAAUGUAAAAUUGACCCCCAGGUGAAGAUGCCUGGCUAUAAUAAAAAGACAAAAAGACCCUAUUGAGUUUUAUAACCCUUCCAGUGUGCUAAUAACUAAUAAUAGAAGCACAUAUGAAAGCUUAUUUAGUUGGGGCAACUAAGGAACAAUUAAACCUUCCUUUAACUUAAAAGACAUGUGUGUCAUAAAGACCCGCACAGCGACCAAAAAAACAACACUACCAUAGGGAUAACAGGCUAAUUUCUUCAGAGAGCCCAAAUUGACGAAGAAGAUUGGCACCUCGAUGUUGGCUUAGGGCAUCCCUUCAGUGCAGAAGCUGAAAAGGGUUGGUUUGUUCACCCAUUAAAGCCCUACGUG
rnacentral:rRNA from 1 species